AUUAACACACCACACAUCCAUCUGAUCAUCCUCAUUUCUGCUCUGUUUAGUUUGUCUUCGUGUUCUGUUUUCAGGGCCCAUGCCUCACUUCCGUACGUCAUACUACUUCUGACGCAGGCUGAGUACACUUGGCCUCUCAUCUUCAGGGAUGGGGCCUUAGAUGUUAAGAAGGGCAUGAGUUCCCUGAAUUUCUUCCACCCGCUUCUCACCCUUGUGGUCACUGCUAGGUCCACCCCCCCAUCAGCGUUAAGCAUGUCUCCAAGGUAGCAGAAGCUGUCCACCACCUCGUACAUCUCCUCAUCUACCACGAGCCCCUCUUGCUCAGCUGGGUCUGCUUGGGCGACUUCUCCCCUGCACCGCUUGCAUUGGAAGGUCUCACUUGCAGCUAAACUACACAUGGC